UAAGUGUAAAAAAGACUUCUAAUCUUUAUAAAGUCUACAAGACUACACUUAA
rnacentral:tRNA from 1 species